rnacentral:rRNA from 1 species
AACUUCUGACCCUGUGAACGAGGCCCACUCCCUUUGUGGCGUGAGUGCUUUCGGUGCACGGGUCAUCCUUCUGAAAAGCGUGUCUUCCCUUCACUGGGUUGGGCUCGUAAUUCAGAUCUUUUACUGUGAGAAAAUCAGGGUGUUCAAAGCAGGCUUUGAUCGCUUGAAUGUUUCAGCAUGGAAUAAUAAGAUAGGACUUUGGUUUUAUCUUGUUGGCUGUGAACUAAAGUAAUGAUGGAAAGGGAUAGUUGGGGGUGCUAGUAUUUAAUGGUCAGCGGUGAAAUGCAUGGACCCAUUAAAGACUAACUAAUGCGAAAGCAUU